CCAAGGAGUCUAGCAUGUGCGCGAGUCAUUGGGACUCUAACGAAACCUAAAGGCGCAAUGAAAGUGAAGGUUCGCCACGCGCGAACCGAGGGAGGAUGGACGGUCGAUCGUGGCCGUCCCGCACUCCCUGGGCGUCUCGUUCUCAUCGCGAGAAGAGGCGCACCAAGAGCGUACACGCUGGGACCCGAAAGAUGGUGAACUAUGCCUGGUCAGGACGAAGUCAGGGGAAACCCUGAUGGAGGUCCGUAGCGAUUCUGACGUGCAAAUCGAUCGUCGGAACUGGGUAUAGGGGCGAAAGACUAAUCGAACCAUCUAGUAGCUGGUUCCCUCCGAAGUUUCCCUCAGGAUAGCUGGCGCUCGCUUCUCGCGAGUCUCAUUCGGUAAAGCGAAUGAUUAGAGGCAUUGGGGUCGAAACGGCCUCAACCUAUUCUCAAACUUUAAAUGGGUGAGAUCUCCGGCUUGCUUGAACUGUGAAGCCGCGAGAUAUCGGAUCAGAGUGCCAAGUGGGCCACUUUUGGUAAGCAGAACUGGCGCUGUGGGAUGAACCAAACGCCGAGUUAAAGCGCCUAAAUCGACGCUUAUGGGAUACCAUGAAAGGCGUUGGUAACUUAAGACAGCAGGACGGUGGCCAUGGAAGUCGGAAUCCGCCAAGGAGUGUGUAACAACUCACCUGCCGAAGUUACUAGCCCUGAAAAUGGAUGGCGCUGAAGCGUCGUGCUUAUACUCUGCCGUCAGCGGCAUGUGAGACGGUCCUUAAGAGGUCGUCAUGAAGCCCUGACGAGUAGGAGGGUCGCGGCGGUGAGCGCAGAAGGACCAGGCGCGAGCCAGUCUGGAGCCGCCGUCGGUGCAGAUCUUGGUGGUAGUAGCAAAUACUCCAGCGAGGCCCUGGAGGACUGACGUGGAGAAGGGUUUCGUGUGAACAGCCGUUGCACACGAGUCAGUCGAUCCUAAGCCAUAGGCGAAAGCCGAUGUCGAUGCGGUGUAUCUUUCAGUGUCUAUAUGCUGCCGCUGCUGCUGCUAUGUAGCUGCUGCUGCUGUUAAGGCGGAGAGACUCACACCCGUCGGGCGAAAGGGAAUCCGGUUCCUAUUCCGGAACCCGGCAGCGGAACCGUUAUUAAGUCGUGCCCUCAUUCAGAGAGUUCGUCGGGGCAACCCAAAAGGACCUGGACACGCCGUCGGGAGAUCCGGGAAGAGUUUUCUUUUCUGCAUAAGCGCUCGAGUUCCAUGGAAUCCUCUAGCAGGGAGAUAUGGUUUGGAGCGCGAAGAGCACCGCAGUUGCGGCGGUGUCCGGAUCUUCCCCUCGGACCUUGAAAAUCCAGGAGAGGGCCACGUGGAGGCGUCGCGCCGGUUCGUACCCAUAUCCGCAG
rnacentral:rRNA from 1 species